rnacentral:rRNA from 1 species
UUAUUUCGGUAGAGUUCUUAGUGGCGAACGGGUGAGUAACGCGUAGGCAACCUGCCCUUUAGACGGGGACAACAUUCCGAAAGGAGUGCUAAUACCGGAUGUGAUCAUCGUGCCGCAUGGCAGGAUGAAGAAAGAUGGCCUCUCGAAGUAAGCUAUCGCUAAAGGAUGGGCCUGCGUCUGAUUAGCUAGUUGGUAGUGUAACGGACUACCAAGGCGAUGAUCAGUAGCCGGUCUGAGAGGAUGAACGGCCACAUUGGGACUGAGACACGGCCCAAACUCCUACGGGAGGCAGCAGUGGGGAAUCUUCCGCAAUGGACGAAAGUCUGACGGAGCAACGCCGCGUGAGUGAUGAAGGAUUUCGGUCUGUAAAGCUCUGUUGUUUAUGACGAACGUGCAGUGUGUGAACAAUGCAUUGCAAUGACGGUAGUAAACGAGGAAGCCACGGCUAACUACGUGCCAGCAGCCGCGGUAAUACGUAGGUGGCGAGCGUUGUCCGGAAUUAUUGGGCGUAAAGAGCAUGUAGGCGGCUUAAUAAGUCGAGCGUGAAAAUGCGGGGCUCAACCCCGUAUGGCGCUGGAAACUGUUAGGCUUGAGUGCAGGAGAGGAAAGGGGAAUUCCCAGUGUAGCGGUGAAAUGCGUAGAUAUUGGGAGGAACACCAGUGGCGAAGGCGCCUUUCUGGACUGUGUCUGACGCUGAGAUGCGAAAGCCAGGGUAGCGAACGGGAUUAGAUACCCCGGUAGUCCUGGCCGUAAACGAUGGGUACUAGGUGUAGGAGGUAUCGACCCCUUCUGUGCCGGAGUUAACGCAAUAAGUACCCCGCCUGGGGAGUACGGCCGCAAGGUUGAAACUCAAAGGAAAUUGACGGGGGCCCGCACAAGCGGUGGAGUAUGUGGCUUAAUUCGAC